UGCCUUAGUAGCUCAGCGGUAGAGCGGUCGGCUGUUAACCGAUUGGUCGUAGGUUCAAGUCCUACCUGAGGCGA
rnacentral:tRNA from 2 species